AUUGAACGCUGGCGGCAUGCCUUACACAUGCAAGUCGAACGGCAGCACGGACUUCGGUCUGGUGGCGAGUGGCGAACGGGUGAGUAAUAUAUCGGAACAUACCUUGUAGUGGGGGAUAACUAUCCGAAAGGAUAGCUAAUACCGCAUACGAUCUAAGGAUGAAAGCGGGGGAUCUUCGGACCUCGUGCUAUAAGAGUGGCCGAUAUCUGAUUAGCUAGUUGGUGAGGUAAAGGCUCACCAAGGCGACGAUCAGUAGCUGGUCUGAGAGGACGACCAGCCAAACUGGAACGGAGACACGGUCCAGACUCCUACGGGAGGCAGCAGUGGGGUAUUUUGGACAAUGGGGGCAACCCUGAUCCAGCAAUGCCGCGUGGGUGAAGAAGGCCUUCGGGUUGUAAAGCUCUUUUGUCAGGGAAGAAACGGUUGUGGCUAAUAUCCAUGGCUAAUGACGGUACCUGAAGAAUAAGCACCGGCUAACUACGUGCCAGCCGCCGCGGUAACAC
rnacentral:rRNA from 1 species